UACGUAGGGUGCAAGCGUUGUCCGGAAUUAUUGGGCGUAAAGAGCUCGUAGGCGGUUUGUCGCGUCUGCUGUGAAAACGCGAGGCUCAACCUCGCGCCUGCAGUGGGUACGGGCAGACUAGAGUGCGGUAGGGGAGAUUGGAAUUCCUGGUGUAGCGGUGAAAUGCGCAGAUAUCAGGAGGAACACCGAUGGCGAAGGCAGGUCUCUGGGCCACUACUGACGCUGAGAAGCGAAAGCAUGGGGAGCAAACAGG
rnacentral:rRNA from 1 species